UCAACACGCUCGCUGGUGUUGGUGUAGACCGAGCGCAUGCAUGGCCAAGCUGCCUAUUAGCCAAGAAAAUAUAAAAGAUCGCAGCUUACAUGGGCGACGCGACUUACGCUGAAAGUGAGGAAAGCAAAAAAAAAAAAAAAAAUACAUAAAGCAACAAUAGCAAUGCGAGCAGCGUCUCUGCUUUUGGAACUGGCCAAGUUUGUAAAUUUUGCUGUGCUGAGCUCAGCGUUCAGGCAUUGCGAUCAGUCUGCGAUCGAACAGCGGUUCAGAAACACGCGCGUUUUCCAACUUAACUCGGCAAAAAGCGACGGUGCAAGUGCAAAGCAAUCGAAAUUGUAUGAGAAUUGUUUUUUUAUUAUUGUGAAUUAGAAUUUAUACUUUUUAUUUUUGUUUUGGCAAACAAGUGGCAAGUGGCAAGUGUAUACAAUUUAUUGCAACAAUUCAUAGCUGGCAAAGUUUGGCGCAACACGCUGGCCAUAACGACGCUUAUAUUUCGCUUUGCUAACAAGCUGACGCAUUUUCAUUUCAUGCUUCUGGGUGUUUUCCAUACACACACACAUACAUGCAUACACAAAUAUAUCGUGUUUAUAUGUAUAUAGCUGUGUGUACACACUUUGUUGAUGCCACUAUUAUUGCAACAGUUUGAAAACGAGUCGGACGUGUUUAUUCGCUGAUACGAUUCUUUGAGCCAGCAGUGCGCAUAUGUGCUAACAAACAUAUUUGGAAGCACCUGCACACGUACAUACAUACAUAUGUUUGUAUGUGCUUGUUCAUACAUAAGAUUUAAGCGCAAGUCAGCGUGAUUUCGUGAAAUAGAGAGUUCAUUUAAAGGUCAUAAACCACAAUAAACAUUGGACUGCCAAAAGUAUAAACGGCAUUGUGAUUAAGCAAC
rnacentral:lncRNA from 1 species